rnacentral:rRNA from 1 species
GACGGAGGAUGCAAGCGUUAUCCGGAAUGAUUGGGCGUAAAGCGUCCGCAGGUGGCAGUUCAAGUCUGCUGUCAAAGACCGGGGCUUAACUUCGGAAAGGCAGUGGAAACUGAACAGCUAGAGUAUGGUAGGGGCAGAGGGAAUUCCUGGUGUAGCGGUGAAAUGCGUAGAGAUCAGGAAGAACAUCGGUGGCGAAGGCGCUCUGCUGGACCAUAACUGACACUGAGGGACGAAAGCUAGGGGGGCGAAUGGG